rnacentral:rRNA from 1 species
GGGGAAUCUUGCACAAUGGGCGCAAGCCUGAUCCAGCAAUGCCGCGUGAGUGAAGAAGGCCUUCGGGUUGUAAAGCUCUUUUGUCAGGGAAGAAACGGUAGGAGCUAAUAUCUCUUGCUAAUGGCGGUACCUGAAGAAUAAGCACCGGCUAACUACGUGCCAGCAGCCGCGGUAAUACGUAGGGUGCAAGCGUUAAUCGGAAUUACUGGGCGUAAAGCGUGCGCAGGCGGUUUUGUAAGUCUGUCGUGAAAGCCCCGGGCUCAACCUGGGAAUUGCGAUGGAGACUGCAAGGCUUGAAUCUGGCAGAGGGGGGUAGAAUUCCACGUGUAGCAGUGAAAUGCGUAGAGAUGUGGAGGAACACCGAUGGCGAAGGCAAUCCCCUGGGCCUGCACUGACGCUCAUGCACGAAAGCGUGGGGAGCAAAC